GCCGGAGUGGCGGAAUUGGCAGACGCGCGGGAUUCAAAAUCCCGUGGCCGCAAGGUCGUGUGGGUUCAAGUCCCACCUCCGGUA
rnacentral:tRNA from 1 species